rnacentral:rRNA from 1 species
GUCCUAUCAGCUUGUUGGUGGGGUAAUGGCCUACCAAGUCUACGAUCUUUAGCUGGUUUUAGAGGAUGAUCAGCAACACUGGGACUGAGACACGGCCCAGACUCCUACGGGAGGCAGCAGUGGGGAAUCUUGGACAAUGGGCGCAAGCCUGAUCCAGCCAUGCCGCGUGUGUGAUGAAGGCCUUAGGGUCGUAAAGCACUUUCGCUAGAGAUGAUAAUGACAGUAUCUAGUAAAGAAGUCCCGGCUAACUCCGUGCCAGCAGCCGCGGUAAUACGGAGGGGACUAGCGUUGUUCGGAAUUACUGGGCGUAAAGCGUACGUAGGCGGAUCAGAAAGUAUGGGGUGAAAUCCCAGGGCUCAACCCUGGAACUGCCUCAUAAACUCCUGGUCUAGAGUUCGAGAGAGGUGAGUGGAAUUCCGAGUGUAGAGGUGAAAUUCGUAGAUAUUCGGAGGAACACCAGUGGCGAAGGCGGCUCACUGGCUCGAUACUGACGCUGAGGUACGAAAGUGUGGGGAGCAAACAGGAUUAGAUACCCUGGUAGUCCACACCGUAAACGAUGAAUGCC